UACGUAGGGGGCGAGCGUUAUCCGGAUUUACUGGGCGUAAAGCGCGCUAAGGCGGUUGGCAAAGUUGGUUGUGAAAUCUCAGGGCUCAACCCUGAAAUUGCGACCAAUACUGGUCGACUAGAGUGCAGGAGAGGAAGGUGGAAUUCCCGGUGUAGUAGUGAAAUGCGUAGAUAUCGGGAGGAACACCAGUGGCGAAGGCGGCCUUCUGGCCUGCAACUGACGCUGUAGCUCGAAAGCGUGGGGAGCGAACCGG
rnacentral:rRNA from 1 species